rnacentral:rRNA from 1 species
CCUACGGGAGGCAGCAGUGGGGAAUUUUGGACAAUGGGCGCAAGCCUGAUCCAGCAAUGCCGCGUGAGUGAAGAAGGCCCUCGGGUUGUAAAGCUCUUUUGUCAGGGAAGAAAAGGGUGCGGCUAAUAUCUGCGCCUCAUGACGGUACCUGAAGAAUAAGCACCGGCUAACUACGUGCCAGCAGCCGCGGUAAUACGUAGGGUGCAAGCGUUAAUCGGAAUUACUGGGCGUAAAGCGUGCGCAGGCGGUUUUGUAAGACUGUCGUGAAAUCCCCGGGCUCAACCUGGGAAUGGCGAUGGUGACUGCAAGGCUAGAGUUUGGCAGAGGGGGGUAGAAUUCCACGUGUAGCAGUGAAAUGCGUAGAUAUGUGGAGGAACACCGAUGGCGAAGGCAGCCCCCUGGGUCAAAACUGACGCUCAUGCACGAAAGCGUGGGGAGCAAACAGGAUUAGAUACCCUGGUAGUCCACGCCCUAAACGAUGUCUACUAGUUGUCGGGUCUUAAUUGACUUGGUAACGCAGCUAACGCGUGAAGUAGACCGCCUGGGGAUACGGUCGCAAGAUUAAAACNAAANAGAGUAGAGCGUGAGAGAGCGACGACGACGACGAGGGAGGAGG